rnacentral:sRNA from 1 species
GAUAUAAUUUUGAGGACUGAACAAAAUUCAGGAAGGACUAUUCUCAUUAAGAGACGAAGUUUCGCCAUGUUGCCCAGGCUGGUCUCGGACUCCCAAGCUCAAGCAAUCCGCCCACCCCAGCCUCUCAAAGUGCUGGGAUUACAGGCAUGAGCCACCGCACUCAGCCAAUAUAUUUUUAAGUGUACGAUACAUUAUUGUUGACCAUAGGUACUAUUCUUUCCUUUUUGAAGCUAAAAUAUUACUGCUAUCCACCUUGUAGUCAUAGAAUAGGGGAAUGAAGGGGUUAUUAUAAAAAUUGUAGUUUAAACUUCUAUAGGAAGUAUAAAUUUCCUCUAAUGUAUGGGUUGUUUCCUCUCUGAGUCCAAUUUCAGAAUGUAAACAAGAAUUGCAAUUACGAUUCUAAAGUACAGAUGGUCCUCCAACUUACGAUUUUUUGACUACGAUGAUGCAAAAGAGAUGCACAUUUAGCCAAAACCGUACUUAAGAGUAUCCAUACAACCAUUCUUUCACUUUCAGUACAGUAGUCAAUAAAUUACAUAAGAUAUUCAACACCUUAUUAUAAAAUAGGCUUUGCAUUAGAUGAUUUUGCCCAACUGUAGGCUAAUGUACGUGUUGUGAGGAUGUUUAAGGAGGCUAGACUAAGCUAUAAUGUUCGGUAGGUUAAAUACUUAACAAUAUUUUCAACUUAUAAUGGGUUUAUCAAAAGUAACCCCAUCAUAAGUUGAGGAGUAUCUGUAUUAAUAAUAUAGUGCAUACUGUGCUUAAAUAUUUUUCCCUGCCUUUUUAGCAAAACAAUUUGAAUUGAUAGUAAGGUUAUUUCUCUUACCAAAUAAAGUUAAUGAGAGAUCAGGUGGAAAUUCUUUACCAAAACAUAAACAAACACACACACACACACAAAUAAAUGUAUUUUAGGGAAAACUGGACUUGACUAUUUUUAUCUUUGAUUAUCCUUACUAAAGAUAUCCUAGGGAAAACACAGACUUUAUUUUUUUUUCGUUUAAUGGGCUUCAGGAAGAGAAGCUUAGUAAACAUACAUUCUCUCCUUCCUCUUUCCCAGAAGCUGCAAUAGUUUAUUUUAAAGCUAAUUCUAGGGUAGGUCCUUUUGAUCUCACUGCUAUCACUUAGAGAAUUAUCAUGUGGUUUUGCAAUUCUAGCUAGAAUGGGGGACCUUUAAAAAAGGUCUUGGAUUUAUGUGAAAUGAUUUUAGUUCAAUGAUAGGAAACCCCUCUACUUGUUAAAAAAAACACAAAAACCUCAAAAAAAGCUCUUAAGAUCUUUAUAGUAGGAAGAAAACCAACUGCUUUUCAAAUUAUGGGGUUGGUCCCAUGUUUUGAAAGUUACCGUCUCAGUUGAUCUCUUAAUGAGAUGUCUGUGUACAUGAGACAAAGGUCGAUAAGAACUUGAGGGCUUCUCAUCUAUCCCUUCUCAGUUAACAAUCCAGUAGCUUCAGAAGACAAAUUUAGGACCCUUGCCUUUGUCCACUGGGUGAAGCAUUCAUCAUCCUAAAGCUGCACUGGAAACUUCCUGGAGGUUUGUCUUCUUUUUGGAGGAGUGUUCUGAUAUGGGAUUCACUUUGUUUUUUUCCUUUUGCUUUCUGGUGCAUACAUGUGUUCCCUCUUAUGUUCAUUUCUUAAUCAUUAUCUGUAACAUUUUGGCUUCCUUUUCCUCUGGCUUUGAUUUCCAAGUAUGGAAUUGAACCUUCUUGUCUGAAUACCAUUAUGUAAGUACUGACAACAUCACAUCUUUUUAUUACUGACACUGAAGGAUGUAUUUUUUGUGGGUAGAAAUGGGGUAGAGAUGGGAUAGGUAUAAUUCUUAUUAAACAUAUUUUUAAUCUA